AGAUGAUGUUUGUGGUGCACUGGAUGCCCCAGGUGCUGCUGAGCUGGAAAUCAAUCCUGCUACCUGAGUUGAUGGUUGUGAAAUUGCAGGUAAGUGCAAAGUUGGAUGUACCCUUCUAGCAGCUGCCUCCAGUUUAGCUGUUUCCCGCCUAUCCGCCUCAAGAAAAGGAUCGCUCCCAUCCCCUCGACGGCGCUGAUCAGCCAGGUAUGCUGUUUUCAUUGAUUCAAUGUACUGAUGAAUGCUCUCUACCUGCUUUACAUAAAAUAUAAACAUCUUAAAAUCACAGCAACUAGUAAUAAAGGUAUAAGCAAGAACUUACAAAAUAGGGUACAUAAUACAUUUAGCAUGCAGCAUUACAAUUUUGCUGCUUCAAAAGUAUAAGCAGACAUCAACUAAAACUCUGGUGCUCUCUGAUAUACUAAUUAUACGUGGUACGAGACUAAACUAAUGAGGAACUUCAACUGUACCAGAAAUCCAGAAUCUACAAGUCUCUAAAGAGGUGACAUCACUUGCAAAUACUGUAGUCAUUAUUUGCAACUUGAAGUUUGGUCAUCAGUAUUUGCAAAUUUUGAAAACCUUGUUUGAGGAGUAUUUCAAGAGAAAUAAUAGUGUUCACUAACACAAUUUCAACUUCUUUUCCAAGUGAAAUUCAUUUCCAGACACAAUUUCAACUUCCAAAUACUUUUUUCCAAUUUCAACUUCAAAUAUUCCUUUUUCGACUUCACCCAAAAUAUUGUCCAAACGCCUACUAAAUAUAUUAUCAUGUCCCACAAAGAGAGAUUUCCAGAGUGGCUAGUGCGCACACACACAGUCACAUGUAGAUAUAUGUGCAUUUGUUUGGUCAAGAAACAAAGAGAAAAAACUACUCCUAGUCAUUUUUACUCUUCUUACUUCAUUCUGAGCAAGCAUGAUACUUUCAUAUGCUUAACAAGCCUUUCCCAUUACCUUUGCUGCAACAUGAACAAAAAAGUCAUGCACAUUUGACAUGACUUUUGGAAGAGACUGCAACAAAGAUGAACUGGAGUUCAUGGAAUUCCUGUCAGAAUCUAAGAGCAUCAACUGCUCCAAUUCUUCAACCCAUUGCCGGCAUUCUAAAAGAUAUUUCUCAAAUCUUGCGACUGUUUGCUGCAAAAACGGAGUGGGCUUCUUUGGUAUCCCCCUGUAAAAAUCAAAAACUGGUGCAUUGGGAGUAGAAUGUGCUUGAGUGGAUGCUGUUUGAGCGACUGUUGCACCUGAUGCUUGUGAUGGAGCAGUAGCACUUGCAGCAGCAGGUGCACUUUGACGAAGAAACCUUGGGCGUAACAUCAUAAAGGAACGCACCGCAACCUCUGUAUUGUGCAGCAUAUCUUUAACAACAACCAUUAGCUCUUGCAAGAUAGCCUUUUGUCUUUCCAUUGAUGUACUAACUCCACCAAGUUCCUGAAAAAGCAACUUCAGGUUAGCACAUGCAAUUAAGUAAUACCUGAAGUAAUCGAAACAGUAAUUAGAAAGGAAAGCAAGAGAAUUAGACUAUAAAAUGUUUAAUAUCAGCGGCAAAUAAUAUCCUCAAUCAGAAUAAGAUGAGCAUUGUUAGGUGGUAUGAAUUAUGAAAAUCUGAAUAACUCAAAAAUCAGCUCAAGACCUCUGGAUCAUCAUCAGUCUGUGCUAACCACAAAUAGACACAAGAAAUAUAGCUAUAUAUAUAGACUGCAUGCAAGAAGAAUAAAUCAGCUUGACCAAAAGUAGACAUUGAUAGAAAGAAUCUGGUUUUCAAAUACUUCCAAUAAUUAUUUUCCCACAAAGAACAGUUCUACAACCCAAAAUUUGAUUACUUAAUGUUUGAUAACUAGUCCAACUUAGUGGAUAGACAACAUAACCAUGUCCAUUCUUGUGAGUUUCAAAGCGCCAAUAAAACUAGUACAUUGCAUAUAUCAUAUGAUCAACAAUAAAAACCUUUCUUUUUGGUAACUGAGCCCGAAGUUUUACUAAAGAGUUAAUUCUAGAGGAAUUAUGAUUUAAAAAUAAAAGAAUCUUAAGAUAAGACCUGAAUGCUGCGACUAGCAUCCACCUCAAAGCCAUCAUUGGCCACUGAUGAAUCAUAAAGUCGGCUACACUGGUCCAGCCUUUGACUUUUAUCCCUGUAUUCCAGUAUUCUCUCCCUAUAUCCACAAGCACAGAAUACAAAUUAGAAAACUUCUCCAACAAAAAGGAAAAAAGAAAUUAAAAAGCAACUUCAAUCUUAUUUAUAUUAAAUCAACUUACUCAAUUUGCAGCAGGAGCUUCUGUGAAUCCGGGUGGAGGUCUGCCCAUUUGGUACUGUAAGUGGCUGGCGUCUUAUCGUUGGUGAAAAGGUACAACUGCUGCUGCUGUUGCUGUGACUGUUGUUGCUGCUGCAGUUGUUGUUGUUGCAAUUGCAGUUGCAGUUGGUGUUGUUGUUGUUGUUGUUGUUGUUGCUGUUGCUGCUGCUGAAAUUGAAGUUGCUGUUGUUGUUGCGGCUGCUGCGAAAAGGGAGUGAUCUGCGAGAAUGGCGACGACUGUUGCUGACCAGGAGUUUGGAAUGGAGACGACUGUUGCUGGCCGGGAAUUUGGAAUGGCGACGACUGUUGCUGGCCGGGAGUUUGGAAUGGGGACGACUGUUGCUGGCCGGGAGUUUGGAAAGGCGACGACUGUUGCUGGCCGGCAAUUUGGAAUGGAGACGGCUGUUGCUGGCCGGGAGUU
rnacentral:lncRNA from 1 species